UACGAAGGGGGCUAGCGUUGCUCGGAAUCACUGGGCGUAAAGGGUGCGUAGGCGGGUCUUUUAAGUCAGGGGUGAAAUCCUGGAGCUCAACUCCAGAACUGCCUUUGAUACUGAAGAUCUUGAGUUCGGGAGAGGUGAGUGGAACUGCGAGUGUAGAGGUGAAAUUCGUAGAUAUUGGGAAGAACACCGAUGGCGAAGGCAGCCAUCUGGACCGACACUGACGCUGAGGCGACGAAAGCGUGGGGAGCAAACAGG
rnacentral:rRNA from 1 species